rnacentral:precursor_RNA from 9 species
UUGAAAGAUUUAUGAAUUCCGUGUUCCACUGGACGCAGUUUUACGCACUUACAUAAAUAAAGUGUUGUGCGUGGGACAGCGAUCGAUGGUGCACUGGUAAAUCGACAUAUUAUAUA